AGGUACGAUGACCUUUAAAUUCUUAUUACAUAAUAGUUAAAUAUUUACAACAUAUAAACUAUCUAUUACAUAACAUCCCAGCAAAUCUACAACUUUUUCUUUCCCUUUAUCUUUACCAGAUGCCUCUACUCGAUACUGAGUAAUUGAAAACAUUUAUAACAAAGUAAGAAUGAGCAUUCAAUUGCUUAGCAAGUAAUAACAUUUUUAAAUAUCUCAUCAAUAAAUAAAUGUUCUCUUUGAAACAUGUUUUGACAGUGAAAUGAAACUGUAAAGUAAAUAAAUCUUGAGUCAUUCAUACUUCUAAAAUAACAUGUCAACAUUUGAUUAGCUGAGAGGUCAUAUAACCAUGAUCAUUCUUUUUCUUUUCUUGAAAAUGUUCUAUCAGAAAUUCAUCUAUGAAUUGUCUUGUCUUACGGGCACGAUAGGUGAUCAACUCUUUAUGCCCUGUAUUGAUCAAUACUAUUUUAUCCAGAACACUUUUUAUGUUCAACGUCACCGCUCCCAGAAUGCAAUAUAAAAUAUCCCAAUUCAGGGAUUGUUCAUUCUCAGACUGGAAUCCAAAUUAUAUCAAUACAGCUGGAAAACUCAAAUCAUAUCACAAUAAUAUUUCAAGACUUAAUAUAAAAGAAUUGAAAUACUUUAAUCUAUGUCUAGCCAGAAAAAAUGACUUAGACUAUAUCUUUAAACUGUUCAUGCAUAUUGAAUUUCAUCUGAUAUACAUAAUAUCAUCUUAACCAUUCUCUUGAAGCUGAUUGGAAUAAAAAGAUUUACUAUACCUUGUAUUAUUCAUAAGUAAUUACGAAACAGUUCAGAAUUUAGAGAAAUUGCCUACAUAUGAAUUAAUAAAUCUAACAUACUUGCUCAAUAAAGAGUAAGAUUUUAGAUAUUUUCCUUGAUUGCGAGCUAUUGAUAAAAAUUCAGCUUAACUUGUUCUCACAGAUCCUACACAAUUAUAUUUGUAUUUACAAACACAUUAGCCAAGUAUCUAAGUCAUAUAACUUGUAUGCUUACAUAACACAUAACCACAUAGAUCAUAUCUUUGGUUUGUGAUGUUACUUAUGAGAUACUUGUAUACAUUUUUCAAAAACCUCAUCCAUGUUCUUAAAAUAAUCAUUUUUUCUCUUUAAUAGAGUUUUGAUAUGCUUGUAUUAUGCAAAUACCUUAUAGUUAUAAUUUAUACCACAUUAGGAACUUAAUACAUGAGCAUUUCAUGCUUCCUUUACAUAACUUCUAGCAUACAAGGUGUUUUCAUAGCUUAUUAUAUGCUUUGAAGGUAUUUUCAACUUUUAUGGUUAGCUUUUAGUCUUCCCAUGAUUUAUAGUUUCAUUUUAAUACAUCAAUGUAUUAAAUAUCUUUUUUUUCUUCAUUAUGUCAAAACAACCUUCUAAAGCUUUAACAGUUUUAACAACCCACUAAUAUGGCAUUGCUUGGAUUUAUUGCUUUGAUUUUAGAAACUUACUUAUGCUAACCAUUCCAUUGCAAAUCCGUUUAUGUUGAGUUAUGAAUCUAAUACAAAUCCUAUAAAUUUAUUUAUUUGAGAAGUUUUAAGUCCACUAUAUGGUUAAGUCUUCAAACUAGAUUCUAGAGCUAAAAUGAUAUACCCAAACUAUUAUAGCAGUCCCUUACUGCCCAUUGCUACUGCAUAUAGGCAGGAACUGCUUUUCAUGUGCCUCACUUUGAGUAGCUUUGAUUCCCCACACCUGUGUUUCCUUUGUCUUAUGUUUUGGAUAUCAUUCAGAUGGUGCAUUCAUCUAGUACUAAAACACAUUAGAUGAGCAAUUCUAGAAGUUUAGAAGUACUAAUUAAGAGCUCAAAAGAAACUUCUAUACAUAGCCACUACUGUAGCAGCCUCUUGGCUGUUAAUUUUGCCAGCUGUUGCUGCCUAAAAGCAGCAGCCCUUACCUCUCAAUCCUAGAUUUGGUAAUUUUUCUUUUGUUUUCCCCUAUUUGACUAAAUAUAAGGGUAAAGUUCAGAUCAGCACAUGAGAUUUGGGCGCUUUCCCACUUAACCACCUGUAGUUAGUAAAGCUACAUUUAAACUCCCGACUUUUUGAGUGAAGUGAAUAAAUUCUUUUCGUCUUAACUCCGUUACUUGAGUUGGCUAAAGACUUAAUUACCCUCCAUAUAUAUAUAUUGAAAACGACGGAUGAUCCUACCAAAGAAACAAAUCGUGUAUAUAUAGAAAAGACAGGGCUACUCAAUUUAACAUGUAUGUAAUCUGCUUCUGCUGCUGAUGAUGAUUCUUAGAGGAAUUUGACUUUGCCCAACAACAUAAUUGCAACUGAAUUAGUAAAAAAAAAUUCUUUUUUUUAUGGUUUAACUGGAAUGAGAGAUUUCACAAACACAGCUGCUAACUUCUCACUAUGCCAAGCCACUGCUUACUGCAAUCCGAACUAUACCACUCCAAGAAUUCUCCUUUAGUUCACCAUUACCCAUUGCUACAUUCUCAAUUUCAUCCUCAACCUCUUAUCCACUGGCUUCCGGUCCUUCAAAAACUGAUUAAACGAAUCUGAAUCGCUCACUUUCUUCUCUCCCAAUGAUUUAGCUGUCUUUAUGACACUCUCUACCCCAUGUUUACCAUUUAACGUACGUGUCCGAAAUCGCUUCCCACCGCCCCGGCUUCCCCACCGGAUUCUUCACCAUCUGCUUCUUCAAUAAUUCCAAAUCCCCCUCACUCCAUUCUCUCUCUUCAAAAGAUUUUACCCCAUUUAUCCCCCCUCACUGGGUUUCUUUUCAUUCUCGUUGACAACAAAAGGGGCAGAAUUAAAACUGAAUUCCUCUUUUUUUUUGGGUUUUGAUCGGCGAUUGGAGGCUUUCUUAUUCAGAUCGGCGACGGUGAGGUUUCUUCAUUUUGGGGCGGCAGCGGGGGUUGGAGGAUACGACCGCGGCCGACGCGGAUGUCUCCAGCGGUGAUGGAGGCGGGGGCGAAGGGGCCGAGAAGGAGGGAGAAGGUGAACCAGAAGAAGAUGGAUUUUAGAUAUUUACCAAAUUUUUUUGACUGUUAUAGACCUUUCUCACGCGCUUUUGGCGUCUGACAUACACACACAGUUAAGUUGGAUGAAAAAUGUGACGUUUUCACUUCAGCUCAAAAAGUCGGGAGUUUAAAUGUAGCUUUAUUGACUGCAGGUGGUUAAGUGGGAAAGCGCCCAAAUCCCAGGUGGUUAUCUGAACUUUACCCUAAAUAUAAUUAUUAACCCUUUUUGUUGCAUUAGUAGCCUCAUAGCAUGGCCUGGUUUGGCUUAGCAGCCCUCACCAUCCCACUAAUUAGCAGCCAAAUGCAACACUUUUCAAUUUGUUAAUUAGCCUUAUCUUAUAGAUUGCUAACCCAUUAUAAAUUUUAUAUACAUGUUUAUCUAGGAGGUUUUAAAUCCAACUCUAUGAUUCAAUCCUUAAAUUGCAUUCUAGAGUUAACAUAACACUCCCAAAACUUCAUGUCAUUACAUGAUUUACAACGACUAUUUAGCAAUACAAAGCUGAUACAUUCAUUUAUAACAGAGUAUCAUCAGCUGAGCAAUAUGUAGCAACACCAGUGCACUAACUGAAAGCCCAUAAAGAGCCCCCAACCAUUGCUCUUCAAGCCCAUUGUGGCUCUCUGCUGCUCUCAGUUAUAGCCCUUAGGCAACAGCCUUGUGCCCAACAUGGCUACUUCUCUAAUUUUUUGCUUCUAAUCCAAAUUUUCGUUUCUAACCAUUGUUAGAGAUAUUUCACAUAAUAUAUGGUAGUAUUUUUAGAAAUUGUACAACCUCCAUUUCAGCUUCAAUAGGCUGCCCAAAACAGUGUGUAAAAGUAGCUUAACACACUAAAUUUUAACUUCUUGUUUUGGGGUUGAAAUUGAAUUUCGUUUUAAUCUAACAAGCUUAAACUCUAGUUAUUAUCCUAUGUAAGAUAUCUAUCCAUUCCAAGCUUUAGUUUUGCCUAAUAUUUGAUUUUCAGCUAAAACAGUCUUUUAAGGACUUUGUCAAGCACUUAGAGUGCAUUGAUAUACACCCAUUUUAUCCUCCUAAUGUCUCCGAACAAACAUCAUAUCUCCUUUACGCUAUUUCGGCCUCAUAACAAUCAAAUUAAUACACAGUUAAAUGCAUAAAUAACCAACCAUUUGCAAACUAGUUAGUUUACUUCCUUUUUAAUUCAAUUCCAUUGAUAAACACAUAAAUCUACCAUAUAGCCAUCUCCAUUAUUAAGCAUACUAAUCAUCAAAUGAAGAAUGUCAGCUCCUAGAUAAAAAACAUCUUGUACAAAUAUAACACAUUUGCACAUAGAUAAAAAACUUGCAUUCAAUGUAAAGAUUGAAUGGAGUUAAGAAACUUGCAUUAUGCGUUGUUUACAACUUUAAGUUAAUUCGCCCUUCGAACGUCCUACACAUUUUAAUGUAUGACGACUGUGGACUCAAGUGCAAAAUUAGGGUUCACUUACACGAUUUCAAUGAAUUCUUGAUUUAGUUCAUUACUUUCAUUUCAUUUUCUCUUUUCAUACAUAUUAGCGGUAAUUUCAGUUCACUAAUUUCAUCUUUUUUCUCCAGAUCUUUAAUGAUUCGCAUGAGUCAACCACCAACCACCAACAAAGCACUUCAAAACUAUAUGAAAAGCUAUAAAAGAGUUGGUUUUAGAGUUUUACCUUUGAAGAUCUUUCUCGUUCUUGUUAAUGUAGGGAUUAAUUUUGUUUUUCCGCUUCCUUUUGCAUAUAAUUUUCGAGCUCUCUCUUCCUCUCUCAAAAAUAUGUAGAGUUUCUUCUCUUGAUUUUGUGAAUUGGUAAGGAAUAAAUAAGAAAUUGCCUCCUAUUUAUAGGCUAGCAAGGCUUAGGGUAGAAUGAUCAUUUAGACUAAUUUAACCAUCAUCUAUCCAUGGUUAAAUAGUGGGUGAUGGGAUGGUUCCAUUGGUCCAUAUAUACAAGUUCACUUAGAUUAAGUUAGACCAUAGUUAGCCUAACUUGGUCUUCUUUGCUUAGUUUGGCCACUUUAACCAUUUAGCUAGCCGCAAUAUUUGACUUUGACAUGUGUAUUUCUACCGUAUAUUUUUUGUAUUAUACUCG
rnacentral:lncRNA from 1 species